AAUGGGUCAGCGACUUAUAUUCUGUAGCAAGGUUAACCGAAUAGGGGAGCCGAAGGGAAACCGAGUCUUAACUGGGCGUUAAGUUGCAGGGUAUAGACCCGAAACCCGGUGAUCUAGCCAUGGGCAGGUUGAAGGUUGGGUAACACUAACUGGAGGACCGAACCGACUAAUGUUGAAAAAUUAGCGGAUGACUUGUGGCUGGGGGUGAAAGGCCAAUCAAACCGGGAGAUAGCUGGUUCUCCCCGAAAGCUAUUUAGGUAGCGCCUCGUGAAUUCAUCUCCGGGGGUAGAGCACUGUUUCGGCAAGGGGGUCAUCCCGACUUACCAACCCGAUGCAAACUGCGAAUACCGGAGAAUGUUAUCACGGGAGA
rnacentral:rRNA from 1 species